ensembl:lncRNA
CCGGAAGUGAGGAACGAGUCAGCCUGUGUUACUUAUGAGUACUUCACCGUGGUUAUGGCCCUACGAAGCAGACUAUUCGGCCGUCCAGGUCGGUGACCCUAAGUGCCAGGGAUAGCAUGUCGCGACUCAGUAGGCCUCGGCUGCUGCGAGGCACGCGCGAGAGAACAGCCGUGUGUUGAAUCCUGUCCUGCAUUCCUCCUGGCGUGGGUGUUAUGGGCUGCCUCUGAGGAUACCUAAGCUCUUGCGUUUGAGGACGGUCGGCGGAGGCCGGGUCUGGAGGCUCGGUGUGGGCCUUAUCGUAGCGGAUUCCAAUAAGGCUUUUGGAACCGGAGAAUUAGGAAGAGAUGAAGAAACCGAGCCAAGCCUUGCUGCUCCAGAUCUUCAGGGAAAGGAAUACUGUUGGGUGGAACAAAGGCUGUGUGAAAGGGACUGGGCUAGCCUCCAAGAAAGAUGACUACCCCCUCGGUAACUACUGUGAUGUCUGUCAGUCACUACAGAACUGGAACUCUGAAAAAUGGAAACAUUCGUCAUGGAAUCCUUUCCCUCAGCCUUGUGUGUGAACUCUGUGCAUCUCCUCCUUUUCCUCGCUCUGUGGUCUACAAUCAGUCAUUCUGAUGUUGAUGAUACAUUUCCAGAUUGGGCCAUUUUUCAAAAUACUGCCGUGGAUAUUUUCAUGCCUAUCUUUGGGAAGCCAUGUUUUUAUUUCCCUCGAGUUUUGUCUAAGAAUUAUUGAGUCUGGAUAUGUAGUCAUUAUUCCAAAAGGUCAUGCAUUCAGCUAAAGUCUACGUAUUGUAUUAGAGGAGGUUAGAGAGACCCCGGAGGAAAUCAGUCUUCUGGGAGCCACGCCCCAUCCAAGUGUUCAGAUUUAUAGCCUUCCACACUGCUGUCCCCAGCUCUGCCCUCCCUCCUUGUUGCUCCCUCAUCCCAACGCUGGGUCUUCUCUUCACUUUGUGUUUUCCCUCCCAACCUUGUCUUGGAGUACCCAUGUCCUGCUCAGCUCCUGAAGCUCAUCGCAGAUGUUACCACCUACAUCUAGCCUUCCUCACACCACUAAGUUGGGACCAGUUUCCUUAUGCCAUCUGCUGCUUUGGCUGAUGUAACCUGAGCAAACCCAUGGAGCACAUUUACUUUGUUCAGAUGACCUCAUGGUGGGCAGGAGAGAUGGUUAAAGAGCACUUACUGUCGUUAUAGAGGAUCUUAGUUCCCAGCACCAACAUCAGGCAGCUCAUAACUGCCUCUAAUUUCAGCUCUAGGAGAUAUGACAUCCUUUUAGCCUGUGUGGGCAUGUGCAUAAGCAAACAUUAAAAAGAAACGUUCAAAGCCAGCUGUGGUGGCAUAAUUUUAGUCCCAGCACUCAGGAGGCAGGGACAGGAAGAUCUCUUGCUUUAAGGCCAGCCUGAUCUACGUAGGGAAGUACAAGUUAGCCAGUGCUAAAUAGUGAGAGCCUGUCUCCGACAACAAGACACCCAUGUGAACUUGCCCAUCCACUCAAGACAGCCGUGGGAUCUCCAGGCCUUUAUUUUCCGUCAGCAGCCUCAUCACUUCCUGAUCCAAUAAAGCUAAAGAGCUUUAGUUAGAGCUAAAGUCCUUGCAUCUUUGCCUACGGAGCAUGUGCCUGGGCAAAUUACAUCCAUGGAUAAACCUAACAAUCGGCUCUCCUCAAAGGCUCUUUGAGCUGGUAAUGGGCAGUUAGAUCUGUGAAGCUCACCCAGCUUCCAAUGGCCCAUCACACUGCACAGCGUCCCCCUGUGCUUGCCUGUCACGAUGUUCUGACGGAGCUAUUGCAGCUGUUCUCAAAAGAAGGCUUGGUCACCAGGUUGACAGUACUGGGAGACACCUUUAAGAGGUAAAGUCUAGUAGGUCUUUAGGGGGGAGCCCUUGAAGGAAAUUGUGGGAUCCUCAUGCCUUCUUUGUUUCUUGUCUCCUGGGCAUGCGAUAAGUGUAUUUUGUUCUGCUGACUAGCCUAAAGAACCUGUGACAUGGACUAAACUUCCAAGACCAUGGGCCAAAAAUAAACCCCUUCUUUUUAUAAGCUCUUGACCUUGGGUAUUACAGUGGCAAGGCUACUAGUGAUGCCAGAUCUUCCCUCUUUGAGUUAUUAACUCAUGCUUUCACCUGUUGGGCUUCAUAAGUACUGUUGACUAGGUUACCUCUCUGUUCUUGGCAGUCUCUACCAUCCUUCCCAUUGUAGUGAAAAGUCUAAGAGGUCUUGCCCCGUGUCUUCUAGAUUUCCUCUUGCUUCUCCGGCUCCUGUCUGGACUGGCUCUUUAGGCCUGCAGGCCACCUCUUGGCAUGGGUUUUCAUCACUAAGGAUGCUUCUUCACUUUCCCGGGACAUUGCACCCUCUUGUGUCUUGGGGAACCCCAUUGCUUUUCUGAGUCACUUUCCCCAGUGUCUAAGGAUGUUGUUUGGGAGGGAAACUUUCUCAGUGGGGUGUGGGUCUGGUGGCCAUAGAGAAUGUGAGUUGGAGCCACUACCCCAUAGCUUUAUAGUCAUCAUCCACCAUAGAGAUUUUCUGCAGCUGAGAGAUCUGGAACCAUUCUGACUACUGGCUCUUUGUGCAGUCAUCAAGGGAGCUUGGGUAGGUGGCCUGCAGGGUGCCAGCCAUCUGGGAACUAAACUGGAAAAAGAUCUGAGUUCCCUUUCUACCCUUAAACCCUCCAUAGUGCUGCCCAAGGGUCUUGAAUGCUUCAUCAGAGUGCCUUGGUCUUUUUCUCCAGAUACAAGCCUCCUGCAGAUGGUACGUGAAGUGCCCAGUUGCAUUUGCCCAUUGGAAAAGCAGAGACUAGUGUCUUAUUUUAAGUAUAUCCCAUGUAACAUUUGGGACAGCCUCAUACCAAACACAUUAUCUGUUGCUUGUUUAAAUUUCAAAUUGAGUUUGGGAUCCUAGCUAUGUUUUAUUUUAAAUCUGGUGUCCCCACCCAGAUAGCCCCUCCUUUUCCUUGCUAGGGAGGGUCAGUCACUCAACUGUGAGAGGUGUGGGAGGCAUCUUUGUUUAACUGCUAUAGGGAGUUUGACUUCCAGCCCAGGUUUGGUGCAGCAUGGAGGUGUUGCCAUCAUGCAAAGUCUUACAGACCUAGUGUCCUGCUUCUGGCCUCCCCCCACACCCGGCUUCAGAGGUACGGGUAGUACACCCCACCUUUGCAACAAUUGACAAAUAGGAAGACAGACUCACAUCAUGUUCAUCUACUUCCCAAGAGCUGACAUUCUUCUAAGUGUGUCAUUCUUCUGUCACUGUCUCCUUCUCUGGCCUCGUGAGGUCGGUCGGUCUAUCUAUCUAUCUAUCUAUCUAUCUAUCUAUCUAUCUAUCUAUCUAUCUAUCUAUUUAGGAGUUCUUAGUUCAAUGGGGUGUCCCAAGGGAAGCAAAGGACUUGGGAGAGGAUAAUUUUCUGACACAAGACAUCAAAAUAUACAAAUUGUGAAUCAAUGGUGUUUUCUCAAGUGAACAUAGUAUGUGCCCACAAGUGGAAGAAUAUGGCAGACUUAGAAGCCAGCAUACCUUCUAAGGCGUUUACGAGGAUGAGUCUGUGAGGGACAAACCUAUCCGAACCACCACAGACACAGUGGUUGCCGAUCCACGUCUCCUGUUGCUGAUACAGUUGGUUGUUGGACACAGGGUCUGCUCUCUUUUCUUCUCCUUCCUCCUCCUUCCCCACCCCCACUGUCUUUGAGACAAGGUCUCACUGUGUAGCUCCAGCUGUCCUGGGAUUCACUAUGUAGUGCAAACUGGCCUCCCAACUCACAGAGAUCCCCCUGCCUCUGCUUUCUGGGUGCUGGGAUUAAAGGUGUUUGCCACUAUGUCUGCCUCUUUUUCUUUUGGACGCAGGAUCUCACAUAUCUCAGGAUGGCCACAAACUGGUCGUGUAGCUGAGAAUGACUUUAAACUUCUGAUCCUCCUGCCUCUGUAUUUCCCAGACAAAUAGGUUCCUUUUAUUUUCUUUUUGAAAACAGAUAUACUUUUAUUUUAUAUGUAUGAAUAUGGGUACUAUGUGCAUGCAAUCCCUGAGGAAGUCAGAAUAGGGUUCAUAUCACCUAGAGCUGGAGUUACAGAUGAUCAGAAUAGGGUUCAUAUCACCUAGAGCUGGAGUUACAGAUGAUCAGAAUAGGGUUCAUAUCACCUAGAGCUGGAGUUACAGAUGAUUGAGAGCCACCAUGAAGGAUGCUGGGAACUGAACUUUGUUGGGGAAUGGUUCUGUGUAUUGUGUACUCCAGAUGCUUAUUAC